UACGUAGGGUGCAAGCGUUGUCCGGAAUUAUUGGGCGUAAAGAGCUCGUAGGCGGUUUGUCGCGUCUGCUGUGAAAACUCGGGGCUUAACUCCGGGCCUGCAGUGGGUACGGGCAGACUAGAGUGCGGUAGGGGAGACUGGAAUUCCUGGUGUAGCGGUGAAAUGCGCAGAUAUCGGGAGGAACACCAAUUGCGAAGGCAGCUCGCUGGGACGUAACUGACGCUGAGACGCGAAAGCGUGGGGAGCAAACAGG
rnacentral:rRNA from 1 species